rnacentral:rRNA from 1 species
AAUCUUCCACAAUGGGCGAAAUCCUGAUGGAGCAAUGCCCCGUGAAGGAAGAAGGUCUUCGGAUCGUAAAGUUCUGUUAUUAGAGAAGAACAAGUCAAGGAGUAACUGUCUUGACUUUGACGGUACCUAACCAGAAAGUCACGUCUACCUACGUGCCAGCAGCCGCGGGAAUACGUAGGUGACGAGCGUUGUCCUGAAUUAUUGGGCGUAAAGGGAGCGCAGGCGGUUGGAAUAGUCUGAUGUGAAAGCCCUCGGCUUAAACGUGGAAGGUAAUUGGAAACUGUCCAACUUGAAUGCAGAAUAGGAAAGUGGAAUUCCAUGUGUAGCGGUGAAAUGCGUAGAUAUAUGGAGGAACACAAGUGGCGAAGGCGACUUUCUGGCCUGUAAUGGACGAUGAGGCUCGAAAGCGUGGGUAGCAAACA